UUUCAUCUUCUCUCUUGCAGAAUUCAUUCCCUCUCCUCGCCUUCUCCCUCUCUGCGACGUUCUACUACUUAGAGUUGUCACCGUCACCACCGCCGAGAGGUCUGUUCUGUCUCCGUCGUAUGUGCCUCUCUCUCUGAAUCGUGUUUUGUGCUCCAUAAGCUAACAGGCGGCUAAGCAUGCACAUGCAUCAUAUAUGCAGUCACUACUAGAUGACGAUGCUUAAACACAAUGACAGCGGGAUGUAGGUCAGGAUGACGUAGGGCAGCAAGACGCAUGUCAUCAAAGAGAUUCACCUGAUGUAGCCAACUCCAAGUUAUCAUCUGGUAUGAUUAGCUUGAAGCAACUAAUUUGCAAAUGGUGUCUGCUUGACAUGGAUUAUCUGAAACAACACUCGUUCAACAAGCUUAAAUGGGCAGUAAAAACAUUGAGAAGUUGAAGUUCAAGUUGUCUGAUGAGAGGAAGAAAAGGAAUUGGCUUAUCAUGAUUUUGUUGUUAUCAUGAGAAUUGUUUAUUGCAUAUUUAAUUACUUGGUAUUUACGGGGAAACUUAUGGAUUUUACUUGUAAUGUCAUGUACUUGAAAUAAUGUUAUAUGUUACUCUUGUUUUCUGUUUUGAUUGUUUUUUUAACAACUAUGUAAGGUUGAAGAUUAAUAUCAUAUUGUGUGUGGGAUGUAACUUGGUGUGAUGCUCAAAUUCUAUGUUGUCUCCUUUCCCCCAAUGUCUCAAGAAACUCUAGGCUAUUCUCA